UUUCUUUUUCAUUGACACACU
rnacentral:piRNA from 1 species